CUAAAUCCCCAAACUCGCCUCCACUUGUCACUCCCGAUCGGCCCCCCCGCAGCGAUGGCUUCCUCGUCCUCUCUUCACGCAGCACCGGCGGCCGCGCCACAGGUCUACGCCGCCGCCGCCUCCGCCUCCGCCUCCUCAGCCUCUUCUCGCCGCCGCCCGACAGCGGUCUCCUUCCCUCUACCUUCGAAGCCCAAGAAGCCUCUCCUCGCCCCCGCCAAGGGAUUGAGGCUUUACAGAGACCGUUCUGCCAUCGCAAAGGCCCAAUUGAAUGAGGUUGCUGGAGGACCUGCCAAUGAUGCUGCAACUUCUAAGACCAAAGCAGAAGCUUUAGGACCCAAAGGGCAGGAUGCGGAAGCAGGAAAGCCAUCCCUGCCAUCAGCUCCACUAUCCGAGGAGGCGAUAUCUGAGUUUAUGACUCAAGUUGCAAACAUCGUAAAGCUUGUUGAUUCAAGAGACAUUGUUGAAUUGCAGCUGAAGCAAAAUGAUUGUGAACUUAUCAUUCGCAAGAAGGAGGCUUUGCCUCAGCCUCCAGCACCAGCCCCAAUUGUCAUGCAAGCCCCUGCUGCUCCUGCUUAUAUUCCAUCAGAAGUUCCACCACCACCUGCUGCCCGUGCCCUCCCAUCACCUGCCGCUGCUUCAUCUGCCCCUAAGGCUUCCAAGUCAUCCCAUCCUCCUCUCAAGAGUCCUAUGGCAGGGACAUUAUACCGAAGCCCUGGUCCAGGCUUGCCCCCUUUCGUUAAGCCCGGUGACAAAGUCAACAAGGGACAAAUACUGUGUAUCAUUGAAGCUAUGAAGCUGAUGAAUGAAAUUGAAGCUGAUCAUGCUGGAACAGUAGUUGAAAUAUUGGUAGAAGAUGGCAAACCUGUGGGCAUAGACCAGCCAAUUUUCAUCAUCGAACCUUAAAAGUUCCCUGCAACGUGAUGGAAGGCCCAAAUUCUGAUUCCUUUUGCUUUUAGUUUCUGCGGAGUCUAGUGGAAGCUAACAUUGCGAGCGAAUUAGUUGAUGAUAAAUUGGUGGCAAUAAUGGAGUUGUAGAGGAAGAAACAACUCAUCUGGGUCUUUUAGGUGCACAUAUAGAAAUCAAAUACUUGGUAAACCCCACAAGAUGUUAGCAGUGGCAUCACACCACCAUUUGACUUCCUGUUACUGGUAGGUGCUCAUUAUAGAGCCAGCUUUUCUCUGUUUUGUGAUACUAAAUUCCUUUUAUCAUGGUCACUAAUUUGAGCCCAGUAGGAAUUGGAUUUAUCGCAAACAAACAGUUAGUAGCUA